UAGUCCACACCGUAAACGAUGGAAGCUAGCUGUCAGGAUGUAUACAUCUUGGUGGCGCAGCUAACGCAUUAAGCUUCCCGCCUGGGGAGUACGGUCGCAAGAUUAAAACUCAAAGGAAUUGACGGGGGCCCGCACAAGCGGUGGAGUAUGUGGUUUAAUUCGAAGCAACGCGCAAGAACCUUACCUGGAUUUAACAUCCCACGACAACUACAGAGAUGUAGCUUUCCCUUCGGGUACGUGGUGAUAGGUGCUGCGUGGCUGUCGUCAGCUCGUGUCGUAAGAUGUUCGGUUAAGUCCGGUAACGAGCGCAACCCUUGUCUUUAGUUGCCAUCAUUAAGUUGGGCACUCUAGAGAGACUGCCGGUGUUAAACCGGAGGAAGGCGGGGAUGACGUCAAGUCCUCAUGGCCCUUACGUCCAGGGCUACACACGUACUACAAUGGCAGGAACAGACCGCUGCAAGACCGCGAGGUGGAGCUAAUCGGUAAAACACUGUCUCAGUCCGGAUUGGAGUCUGCAAC
rnacentral:rRNA from 1 species